AAUGACACUAAGGAAUUAAAAAUAAAGCACGGUUGAUACAUCUGAAAAGAAAGGCUCUAUGUCAACCAUCCAGAGUGUGCUGAAAUUUGUGCAGAUACAAUUAUCUCCUAAAUCACAACAAAGGAAUCAACAUAGUAAUUAUAGCAUUGAGAACAGAUAUGAAUUUAGGGGCUGUAGAGUCCUGCCCGCUACUAAAUGAUUACAAGCAAAAGUUACUUUGGUCUCGUUUCCCUCAGUCUGUCCUUGGAGGACUCAGGUUAAGAAGUGUUGCAGUGUCAGCUAUCAUCGGUCAACUUCUCCUAUUUUUACUGCCCAUCAUUCUAGCCGCUAUAUCAACAUUUGCGAAUUAUUAUUCCUCAGAUUCCCCCCAACCAUUCUUGUUGAUAAAUGGAACAUUUGGCAUUGUUCUCUUCCUUGCGCUGACAGUCUUGAAAACACUUCCACUACCGAAGACUAAUAAAAUUUCCCAAGACCUCCCGACCUAUAGAUUUUCUUUAGAGGAGGAAAGCGUUAUUUCCAAUAAUUUUCUGACCUGGGAAAACUUGACUUUCCUAUUCCCGAGACACGGGCAUUAUCUGUUCAGAAUUAUUGACCCAUUUUGCUACGCACUGACAUUUACCCUUGGAUGUGAAGUGUCGCGAAUAUCAUACAUGAGAUCUAUCCUUCAACUUCAAGAUGAGGCUUAUAUACCUCUUUUUAUUUUUAUGUGGUUCUCUUACCUGGUCGGAUUAUAUCCACUGAUAUCAAACGUUCCGGCUGAAGUCGCUACUUACAAAGGCCAUGACACAGCUGGUACAGAUCAUCUCUACCGACCCUGCUAUCUGCUGGGGUUAUCCGGGACUAUUUUUCUUCUGCUUAU